AGCUCCCCGUGGCCUCGCCCUGCAUUUGGGCUCACUCCUCUGCUGUGUGCAGUCUGCAGGUUGCCUCGUUCUAUCCCCGCAUUUCCUGAGAUGUCGCUAGCAAUCACUUCAGGUGAAAUGCUUAUUGUGUGUUUUCAGUCCUCUUCCAGGAAGAUUUUUACCCAAUUUAUAUGUGGGGCUUUCUUUACUUCAUGCAUUUCAUUAUUUUUAACUUGUGCUUUGCCUGUUCUGCUUGUUGAAGCGAUGAUUUUCUGAAAAUGUUUAAAAAUUGUGAAAAUUGAGGGUUGAAAGUAUUGAACGGUAUGUUGUGCUUAU